GCACUAUCAAAUGGUAAUUUGUUUGGAGGCGAACUCACACGGAGAACCUGUGCGCCACAGCAGUCUUUUCAUUUCGCAUUUCAAUGAGGAAGGAGUGAAAGUUAUUACACGCAGCGGUAUUUCGGCAACGUGCAUCUUCAACUCUAUUUUCAUCGAAAAUCAUGGCGAAUAAGUCUGGGAAAGCUAAGUCCAAGACUAGAUAUAGCAAUGUAGAGGCAAUUUUAGAAGAAAUUGAUCGUGAUACAGAUACAGAAAUGUUAUCUGAGGACGAAUCUGUGGGAGCUGCCUCUUAUGAUUCUGAAACGGAGGCAUAUUUCUUGGAAGGAGAGGAUAUCGUUUUGGAUUGUGGCAAUGAUUCCGACUGGGAGCCCCCAGCACCGCCCCCAGCGCCAACCUGUUCUUCCAUCCGGACCCCUGCUGUCUCUGGGCCAUCUACCGGUCACACCGACAAAGAAGCGGAAGAGGGGAAGUGUGCCACCUGCUAGAGAAGGGACAGAAGGGCGUUGGCACACUGUCCUGGAAGAUGAUGUGGAGCCACCCCAGCCAACUUUCCGACCGAAAAGAGAGCCUGGACCUCAGGUGAGCUGCAGUUUGCAUUUGUGUGUUUUCUCAUUGGGACAGUGUACUUACGAGGGCUUUGAGCACAGGAAGCGUCUGCUGGCCCUGCUGUGUCGUAGUGAUAGCCCGGAUCUAUACCUGGGCCUCAUCGCUGUGCUCUACCAGCAGCUGGGAGAGAUACCUACAGACUUCUCUGUGGACAUUGUGUCUCAGGACAACUACCUCACCACGUUACAGGACUUCUUCCAGUUUGCCAGUGGGCCUGGGGUGGACGGCACCCUGCGGAAGAGGGCAGAGAAGUUCAAGGCCCACCUGACCACUGAGGUAGAUCCUGACGAUUGUGACCCUGUCGUAGUGUUACUGCCUGAGAAGAUCACACUGGACUGAGCAUGCUCUGAAGAACAUCCAGGGUCAUAGACUCAGGAGAGGCGAAGGUCAAGAGCCAUGCAUCCUCCGAAACUAGCCCUGCCAAGCCGCACUGCUUCUUGACACACUGCUCGCUUAAUCCAAAAGCCAGCCACACCAAUGUGUGGGAAGAAACACCAUACCACUGGCGACCGAAGUCAGCUUGCAUGCGCCUGGCCUGCCACAAGGAGUCGCUAGAGUGCGGUGGAACAACGACAUCCCGGCUGGCCAAACCCUCCCCUAAUCCGGAUGUCGCUGGGCAAAUUGUGCGUCAUCUCCCGGUCACGGCCAGCUGUGACACAACGUAGGAUCAAACCCAGACCUCCUCCUCUCCUGUUGUUUGAUGCUCUGACCGCCGUAUGCACUGAGGCUGAUGAGAGCUAUCGAGUUACUGAAAUAAUGGCAAGUUAUUCAACACAACAGCAGUAAAUGGACUGUGAAUGAGUGACCAAGAUGAGAGCUAGUUCUCUGUAUAUUUAUCCCUCUCCAUCCUCAUCUCCCUUCUCUACUUCCUCCCUAAUGCACCUUCUCUUCCUCUACAUCCAUCUAUCCUUCUACCCCUCCAUCCUUUCCUCACCUCUUCUUUCCCUCUACACUCUCCACUCCCAUACUAAGUUAUUCCCUCGGUCAGCCAUAGUAAAGGCAGAGCCAGUCUUAGUGGGUCUCUAUUAUAUUGUAUACACAGAGCAACCCUUCAUCGGGCUCCAGUGAUUGUUGGGUCUGUUUACUGACUCUGACGGUGAUUGAUAACAGCUUCCACAUUGUUUACUGUGUGGAACGGACUGCUGGCAUACACAAGCAGUGUGUAGCAAUCUCCAGGCCUCUUCAGACAGCCUGGUCCCUGUGGUUACAUAAGGCCACAUGUGCAGGACCAUGUCCUCAUCCCCUGACCAAAGUCUAGCUGACUGGACUACUGCAUCCUUCCUUCCCUCCUUCCCUCCCUCCCUACCCCUGGGAAUAACUGAACUAAAUGCACUCAAUUCCAAUGUUUCUCAUUUGCUCUCUCUCUCUCUCUCUCUCUCUCAGCAGCUCAGCAUAGUUCCGUCUACAUUUACAAGGUUAGGGUUUUGGAUAGGGUUAACAUCUUAUGUUUAGGCACUCAUUCUGAAUGGUGAAGGUAAGGGUUAAGGUUUGUUUACAAACAAGUGUCCAUCCACAGAGUAAUAGGAUUAUGCCCAUCCACCACCCCCGUCCACAACGACCUAGCAAAACCCAAGCCUACUUGAUGGUAAUAGUGCUCGCUGUUGCCCCUAGUGGGCCGUUUUGAAGGCAUUUCCCGACGUGCUCAGGACAUGGAUAGAUGUCCAAAUGUCGAAGUCACCGCUUGAGAUGUAGUUAGAGAAGCGUACACCUGUCAGGUUCUCCCCAAGGAGAGGUGGGCGUGGAGUCAGGCGCAAGAGAGAGCGAAUGUAAAGAAAGGGCGUUCUUUUUAUAGUCCAAAGAACAGGAACAGGACCACAACAGUAGCCUCAAAAAAAACGAAACACGGUCCAGAAAAACACCUGUUCAGCAGAACACACCAAAACGCAACCCAAACAAAUGACAGUAAACGAAACAAUCCCGCACAAAACCAAGAGGGUAGGCCGGGAUUAAAAUACCCCACUAAUUAACCAAUGGGACACAGGUGAACGACAAGACAGACAAAACCAAAUGAAAAGGAAAAAGGAUCGGUGGCAGCUAGUAGACCGGCGACGACGACCGCCGAGCGCCGCCCGAACAGGGAGAGGAGCCACCUUUGGUGGAAGUCGUGACAACACCUCACAAGGACAUGAAAAAGUUCAGUUAUUUUUUUCAUAGCUUUCUUCAUGGCUCUCCAUCCGGUUUGUCCUGACUUCAGGGAAACAGGCAGCACCAGAUCUUUGUUCGAGAUAUCCUUAUAAUUCUCUCUCUCUGGCUUGAGACUCAUUUUGUUUUAAGGACGAAACAGACUAGAGUUUAACGUCAGUUUUGUGUUUACCCCAGCUAAUGAUUAAGAUAGGAUUUAGAGAGUAACCUGAUCCUAGAUCUGUGCCCAAAGGCAACAACUACUCAAACUAAAUAACAAGGAACAUAACAGGGGAUGUUCAGCAGCUGGUCAGUGCCAGCGGGCAGAGGGAGCAUGUCACGCCCAGCCAGGGCCACCCUUCUCUGGCAAAACGAGUGUGCCUGUUCCCCCUCUGGCUGUUUGUCUGGAUGGAGUGUCACCAGCUCCACAUGCUGUGUGAUCUCACACACGGUCUACUGUGUCCUCACCUGACGUCACCACCAGAAUCUUCUAAUGAUGCGUUUACACAGGCAGUCCAAUUCUGACCUUUUUUCUUGGUUUUUGACUAAUCAGAUGUGAAAAGUUCUGAUGUGAUUGGUCAAAAGACCAAAUAGUGGAAAAAAUGUCAGAAUUGGGCUGCCUGUGUAAACGCAGCCUUAUUGUGAUACCAUAUGAUCAUGCACUUGAUGUAACUGUGUGAGAAGCAUGUUAUAUGUCUUUAUUCCUAGCGCUGUGUAAUUUCAAUAAAAUGAUAUUGUCAAAAAAGUCCAAUACAAAGCAGUAGUCUGCUAUUUAUAACUUUAAUGAAAACAGUUGAGCCAGAGGAAAGAGAGAAAGUUUUGUUGCGUAAGAGGAACAAAAAAGGAGAGAGGGGGAGGAAAAGAAAGUAGAGGCCCAAUUUUUCCAUAAACAAUGAACCUAAGAGAUCUGUAGAUGUGAAUGUACAUAGAUUUGACCAGGCCAGAGAACCCUUUCCCCUAAUACCACAGCACGCAAUUAUAUAACUGCACUUAUAGUGGUACAAGGGACGAUGCAGAAAAUUUUGACUGGAUGAAGUCAAUCAGUCUGGGGCCCUCAUUUAGGAAGUCAUGGGGUAUAGGCCGUAUCCUUCACUCAACAAGGGGGUGUCAGGAGAGCGCUAGCCCUCAUUACCUUUGAUUGGAGGGGGAGAAACGAAUGCCAUUCCCGCAAAAAUUAAAUGCAAUGGAGUCCAGUGGGGGCUGGUGACUUGAAAAAUUGAGGAGGAUUGGAAAAGGCGCGGACUGCACGGAGACGACAAAGCGUCUGUCACGUCCGUCGUAGUGAGGAGACGACAAAGCGUCUGUCACGUCCGUCGUAGUGAGGAGACCAAAGCGUCUGUCACGUCCGUCGUAGUGAGGAGACCAAAGCGUCUGUCACGUCCGUCGUAGUGAGGAGACCAAAGCGUCUGUCACGUCCGUCGUAGUGAGGAGACCAAAGCGUCUGUCACGUCCGUCGUAGUGAGGAGACCAAAGCGUCUGUCGCGUCCGUCGUAGUGAGGAGACCAAAGCGUCUGUCGCGUCCGUCGUAGUGAGGAGACCAAAGCGUCUGUCGCGAACGUCGUAGUGAGGAGACCAAAGCGUCUGUCGCGUCCGUCGUAGUGAGGAGACCAAAGCGUCUGUCGCGAACGUCGUAGUGAGGAGACCAAAGCGUCUGUCGCGUCCGUCGUAGUGAGGAGACCAAAGCGUCUGUCACGUCCGUCGUAGUGAGGAGACCAAAGCGUCUGUCACGUCCGUCGUAGUGAGGAGACCAAAGCGUCUGUCACGUCCGUCGUAGUGAGGAGACCAAAGCGUCUGUCACGAACGUCGUAGUGAGGAGACCAAAGCGUCUGUCACGAACGUCGUAGUGAGGAGACCAAAGCGUCUGUCGCGAACGUCGUAGUGAGGAGACCAAAGCGCAGCGUGAUGUGAAUACAUAUUUUUAAUAGAAGACGACUGAACACGAAGAACACUAAACAAAGUAUACAAAAUAACAAAACGAACGUGAACGCUAUAAACAAUGAGUGCAGACAUGCAACUUCACAUAGACAAUAACCCACAAACCAAACUGGAAAAUGGCAACCUAAAUAGGAUCCCCAGAGACAACGAUAAACAGCUGCCUCUGAUUGGGAACCAAUCCAGGCCACCAUAGACCUACAUAUGUCGAGACUAGACACACACACCUAGACAUACAAAACCCUAGACAAGACAAAAACACACAUACCACCGUCGUCACACCCUGACCUAACCACAAUAAUAAAGGAAACAAAGAAUACUAAGGUCAGGGCGUGACAGCGUCUUUAAAAAAAUUGUGAAAGACAAAUUAUUUUAACCCAAAGCACUUAAUAUAGACAUUUAGAGUACAGUAGGCUCAUCAUGGAUGGAUGGUGUUGGAGAAGAGCUCAACUCUUCCACUAAGGGCAGGACAGGAUUUUACUGGGAAGACAAAAAACAAUAACACAACACACUACACAGUUAGACAAAAGAGCUAAGAAUGAGUUAGUCCAAGCAAGGAGUACAAUUAUUGAUGUGUAAUAAUAUGAUUGUGUUUGUGUAUGUAAUUUCCUCUACAUAGAAAAUUGACCUGUCUACUCACAGUGCUUAGAGAGGAAACAUUCAAUGUGGCAGUGGAUGAGAGGGUACAUGAGAUGUGGCUUCAGUUCAUGUCAGGAGAGAGUUGACAAUGGUAGUGGAGUGGAGUGGUCAUCACCUUUUACACCAGGGAAUAGGAGGGGCACUCACUUUGCUAUAAAUACAAAUAGCAGAUAAAUUGCCCCUAAGUAAAAGCCAACUCUUGCCGAUAAUCUGCAUGUGACCCUGUUUCUUCUUACCUUCUCAUUAUGUUGUGCAGUUUGAAAACGCAGAUGUUUGUCCAUUACAUGAUCGAUGCAGCUUUUUCCAGGAAGAUUGAAUCUGAUAUGGGCAAUAAAGGGCUUCUUCAACAAAAAAUCCACUACAUUGUUGUUUGCAUUAGCUAGCCAUUCUGGAGGAGAAAACUGCACCCUGGUAGCUAACUAGCUACUUGCUACUAAAGUUUGCAAGACAAAUGUAAAUAAAUUGCACUCACGUGACACAAAUAUAGUUCUAAAACCAAGAAAACAAUAUAUGAUCUACCUCUUCCGCCUCCUGUAGUUUGAAGAAACUAAUUUGAAUUAAAUAAUAUCCCCAAAAUUCUCAACUAUCACUCUUCACUCUCAUUCUCUAUCCAAUAUGUCACCAACUCACCAAGAUUAUUAACACGUAGAACCCCCAUAAUGCUCUGUGGCACAACCAACACACCACACACCACACCAGGUUUGUUCUCUAUUCCUAAACCUAUUUUUGAAAAGACAUGUCAGUUCAUAUUGCAAAUGCUUUUAUUGGUUGGAGGACGUCAUCCGGAAGUGGUCAUAAUUACCAUGUAGGUCUAUGGAAGGAGGUAAGGCCCGUGAGGCUCCUAGGUUUUGUAUUGAAGUCAAUGUAGCCAGAGGAGGACGGGACAUAGCUGUCCUCUAGCUAAACCAUGGUGCUAGCCUGGAGUGUGUUGUUGAGACUACUGUAGACCUUUAUUGCAAAACAAUGUGUUUUAAUCAGAUAUUUUGUUACGUGAAUAUAUUUAGUAUCUUUUGAAUGUUUCAUUAUUUAUUCACUGAGUAGAAUGGUCGCCCUUCCUCCUCUGAGGAGCCUCCACUGAUGGAGUUCAUCUGUAAGUGGUUAUACUGUAGAGCCUGGCUCUGAGAUGGAUUUGAGUUUGUUCAAUUAUAUUUUUCUAUAGAAAAUGGGCACAAUUAGGGUUUCCAGAAUGUUGCAUUCCGUGCUGAGGGAUUUAGUGCCAUUCUGUGUGUGUGUGUGUGCGCGCGCGUUUGUGUGAGUGAGCGAGCAAGAGAGAGAGAGCUCUAUAGAAACUAAGCUCACAGUAGAGAAAUUGGCUUGUCUAACAACACAGCCCGUUUUUCAGCAGUGAUUAUGUUGCUUGCCAUGGUUUAUUUUCACAUCUAUCACCCUGCACUUUGUUUCUGCCCUGAAGGAUUGUUAUCUGUACAUGACACUGUUUAGUUCAUUGGGUUUAGGGAAGCAAUAACAUCAUAUCAAUAGGAUAACGAAGCACCCUGGACCUCAGUGGAUGGUGGAUGUGGAGUGAAAGUGAAGGUUUUAUAUUCAGAGCUUGUGAUAUGUUUACUUGAGUGUGAAAAAUAGAAAAUAUUGAGAGAGGGGGGAGCAGAAGGAGAAAGAGGGUGAGAGAGGGAGAGAGAGAAAGAGGGUGAGAGAGAGAGAGAGAGAGAAAGAGGGUGUGAGAGAGAGGGAGAGAGAAAGACGGUGAGAG